GGGUUCGAUUCCGGAGAGGGAGCCUGAGAAACGGCUACCACAUCCAAGGAAGGCAGCAGGCGCGCAAAUUACCCAAUCCCGACACGGGGAGGUAGUGACAAUAAAUAACAACACAGGGCUCUUUUGGGUCUUGUUAUUGGAAUGAGUACGAUUUAAAUCUCCUAACGAGGAACAAUUGGAGGGCAAGUCUGGUGCCAGCAGCCGCGGUAAUUCCAGCUCCAAUAGCGUAUAUUAAAGUUGUUGCAGUUAAAAAGCUCGUAGUUGAAUUUCAGGCCUGGCUGGACGGUCCGCCCUUCGGGUGAGUACCGUCUGUGGUCGGGUCCUACCUUCUGGCGAAGCGUCAUGGCCUUAACCGGCCGUGGCGGGGAACCAGGACUUUUACUGUGAAAAAAUUAGAGUGUUCAAAGCAGGCAAUCGCUUGGAUACAUUAGCAUGGAAUAAUGGAAUAGGACAAUGGUUCUAUUUGUUGGUUUCUAGGACCGUUGUAAUGAUUAAUAGGGAUAGUUGGGGGCAUUAGUAUUCAAUUGUCAGAGGUGAAAUUCUUGGAUUUAUUGAAGACUCACUACUGCGAAAGCAUUUGCCAAGGAUGUUUUCAUUAAUCAAGAACGAAAGUUAGGGGAUCGAAGACGAUCAGAUACCGUCGUAGUCUUAACCAUAAACUAUGCCGACUAGGAAUCGGGCGAUGUUGAAAAAAUGACGCGCUCGGCACCUCAUGGGAAACCAAAGU
rnacentral:rRNA from 1 species